rnacentral:rRNA from 1 species
AGAGUUUGAUCCUGGCUCAGAUUGAACGCUGGCGGAAUGCUUUACACACGCAAGUCGAACGGCAGCACGGACUUCGGUCUGGUGGCGAGUGGCGAACGGGUGAGUAACAUAUCGGAACGUAUCCAAUAAUGGGGGAUAACGAGUCGAAAGAUUCGCUAAUACCGCAUACGCCCUACGGGGGAAAGCUGGGGACCUUCGGGCCUGGCGUUAAUGGAGCGGCCGACAUCUGAUUAGCUAGUUGGUGAGGUAAAGGCUCACCAAGGCGACGAUCAGUAGCUGGUCUGAGAGGACGACCAGCCACACUGGAACUGAGACACGGUCCAGACUCCUACGGGAGGCAGCAGUGGGGAAUUUUGGACAAUGGGCGCAAGCCUGAUCCAGCCAUUCCGCGUGAGUGAAGAAGGCCUUCGGGUUGUAAAGCUCUUUCGCAAGGGAAGAAAACUUAGCCACUAACAUUGGCUGAGGUUGACGGUACCUUGAUAAGAAGCACCGGCUAACUACGUGCCAGCAGCCGCGGUAAUACGUAGGGUGCGAGCGUUAAUCGAAACUACUGGGCGUAAAGCGUGCGCAGGCGGCUUUGUAAGUCAGAUGUGAAAUCCCCGAGCUCAACUUGGGAACUGCGUUUGAAACUACAAGGCUAGAAUAUGUCAGAGGGGGGUAGAAUUCCACGUGUAGCAGUGAAAUGCGUAGAGAUGUGGAGGAAUACCAAUGGCGAAGGCAGCCCCCUGGGAUAAUAUUGACGCUCACGCACGAAAGCGUGGGGAGCAAACAGGAUUAGAUACCCCUGAUAGUCCACGCCCUAAACGAUGUCUACUAGUUGUUGGUGGAGUAAAAUCCAUGAGUAACGCAGCUAACGCGUGAAGUAGACCGCCUGGGGAGUACGGUCGCAAGAUUAAAACUCAAAUGAAUUGACGGGGCCCGCACAAGCGGUGGAUUAUGUGGAUUAAAUUCGAUGCAACGCGAAACCUUACCUGGCCUUGACAUGUAGCGAACUUUCCAGAGAUGAUUGCUGCUCGUAGAAGACGCUAACACAGUGCUGCAUGCCUGUCGUCAGCUCGGCUCGUGAGAUGUUGCCUAAGUUCCGCAACGAGGGCAACCCUUUGCAUAUUGCCUUCUAUUAACUUGGCACUUUUAUGGACUGCCGUGUAACAACCGAGAAGGUGGGGAGUGACAUCAGGUCCCUCUCAG